rnacentral:rRNA from 1 species
CUACUACUGCAAGUCGAGCGAACAGAUAAGGAGCUUGCUCCUUUGACGUUAGCGGCGGACGGGUGAGUAACACGUGGGUAACCUACCUAUAAGACUGGGAUAACUUCGGGAAACCGGAGCUAAUACCGGAUAACAUUUGGAACCGCAUGGUUCUAAAGUGAAAGAUGGUUUUGCUAUCACUUAUAGAUGGACCCGCGCCGUAUUAGCUAGUUGGUAAGGUAACGGCUUACCAAGGCGACGAUACGUAGCCGACCUGAGAGGGUGAUCGGCCACACUGGAACUGAGACACGGUCCAGACUCCUACGGGAGGCAGCAGUAGGGAAUCUUCCGCAAUGGGCGAAAGCCUGACGGAGCAACGCCGCGUGAGUGAUGAAGGGUUUCGGCUCGUAAAACUCUGUUAUUAGGGAAGAACAAAUGUGUAAGUAACUGUGCACAUCUUGACGGUACCUAAUCAGAAAGCCACGGCUAACUACGUGCCAGCAGCCGCGGUAAUACGUAGGUGGCAAGCGUUAUCCGGAAUUAUUGGGCGUAAAGCGCGCGUAGGCGGUUUCUUAAGUCUGAUGUGAAAGCCCACGGCUCAACCGUGGAGGGUCAUUGGAAACUGGGAAACUUGAGUGCAGAAGAGGAAAGUGGAAUUCCAUGUGUAGCGGUGAAAUGCGCAGAGAUAUGGAGGAACACCAGUGGCGAAGGCGACUUUCUGGUCUGUAACUGACGCUGAUGUGCGAAAGCGUGGGGAUCAAACAGGAUUAGAUACCCUG